rnacentral:rRNA from 1 species
CACCAGGUUGAUUCUGCCUGACGUGGAUGCUAGUUUCAUAGACUAAGCCAUGCAUGUGUAAGCGAAGCUUUUAGUGGAGCUGCGGAAGGCUCAGUAACGGGCGUCUAAUUUGAUCUCUUAGAGCGGACAACCUCUGUAAACGGAGGACAAAACGCAUUAUGGGCAUGUCUGAAAGAUGCCUAAACAACCGAAGGGUGUGAGAGAAUAAGGGGCCAUCCCAUCAGUUAGUAAGUAAGGUAAAGGCCUACUUAGACGAAGACGGGUACGGGGAAUUAUUGUUCGAUUCCGGAGAGGGAGCCUGAGAGAUGGCUACCAGGUCCAAGGAUAGCAGCAGGCGCGAAAAUUACCGAAGCCUAAAGUAGGGCGGUAGUAAUGAAACGUGAAAACGAUGUACUGAUAAAAGAGGUAGUAGUGACUGGAGGUAAAGACUGGUGCCAGCAUCCGCGGUAAUACCAGCUCCAGGAGUGUCUAUGAUGAUUGUUGCAAUUAAAGAGUUCGUAGUCGAGUAGCAUGACAGGUCUUUAAAGUGGUGGAUCAAACGACGACCAGGAUCUGAAAAGCUAGGAAUGAGGAGCGAUCAGGGGCUAGUUUAUUAAGCGACGAAAGGUGAAAUUUGAUGACUCGCUUAGGAGAAACGGAGGCGAAGGCGCUAGCCAGGAGCGAAUCCGAUGAUAAAGGACGUAGGCUAGAGGAUCGAAGACGAUUAGAGACCGUUGUAGUUCUAGCAGUAAACGAUGCCGACGCUGUGCUAUGAAUUGUAGUGCGGAAGAGAAAUCGAGUAGGGCCUUGGGGAGAGUACAUACGCAAGUAAGAAACUUAAACGAAAUUGACGGAAGAACACCACAAGGAGUGGAGUGUGCGGCUUAAUUUGACUCAACGCGGGACAGCUUACCAAGCCCGACGACUGGACGAGUGUAGUACACGAUAGGUCGGAGAGUGGUGCAUGGCCGUUAACGACAAGUGGGGUGACCUUAUGGUUAAGUCCGGGAAGUAGUGAGACCCCUGCUAGCGGAAGACGAGGCGAGUUAGGACAGGUACGCAAAGUACAGGAAGGAAGGGUCAAGAACAGGUCAGUGAUGCCCUCAGAUGGCUUGGGCUGCACGCGCACUACAGUGGUCACACGAAUAAAGGAAAGUAACAGUAAAGGUGAUUGAGAGGGAAUGAGCUUUGUAAGAGGCUCAGGAACGAGGAAUUGCUAGUAAUCGCAGACUCAUUAAGAUGCGAUGAAUACGUCCCUGUUCUUUGUACACACCGCCCGUCGUUAUCGAAGAUGGAAUCAGGUGCGAACAAGUGAAAACGAGUGAGUACAGGAUUCUAGAUGUGAUACAAGUCGUAACAAGGUAGCUGUAGGAGAACCUGUAGCUGGAUCAGACUGAGAGAAACGAAAGAGUAGAGUUAGAAGAGUAAAGAAAACCCUGCGCAAGGGAUCUUUUGGUUCGGUGAGCGAGGAAGAGCGCAGCGGAGAGCGAGAUGUGCAGGAGCAGCGGCGAUGACGGCACGUGCUUGAAGAUGCGGUGGCAGGACAACCCCUUAGAUUUAAGCAUAUUAGUAAAGGGAGGAAAAGAAACUAACGAGGAUUCCUGUAGUAGCGGCGAGCGAACAAGGAGGAGCCCAAAGUGUAAUUGAUGGAGCGAUCUGUUGAGAUGUCRAAAAAGCACGGCGUAACCAGUCUGGAACGGAGGGCCUAAGAGGGUGAUAGCCCCGUGWGCGUGCAGGGAGAAGGAGUAGCAGUGCUCGGUAGUGCACUGUGAACGGGUGGCAGCGUCCAUCCAAGGCUAAAUAUAACACCGAGACCGAUAGAGGAUAAGUAGAGUGAUCGAAGAAGGAAUAGACUGAAAAAGUGAAAUUGCGCAGGGAUCCGAUUAGAUCGGACCCGUCUUGAAACACGGACC